UCAGACAUGUGCCUUCCGAUCUGAACAGAUUGCCAAGAGACGGAGGCUGUCCUCUCUGAGAGCUUCUACCUCUAAGUCUGAGUCCAGUCAAAAAUGAGAUUUUCUAAGAGUGACAAAUAAAUAAGA